rnacentral:lncRNA from 10 species
CACCAUUGCUCCAUCUCUAAGGGUGCACCCUUCUAUAGAAGUACCUUGCCUUGCUGAGAAUUAAAAAGAAAAUUUUAUAUUCAGGUGCUAUUUCUUUUGCGGCACCAAAACUUUAUAUAUAACACUUUGGGGGCUCACCCGUGAUUACAUUCCCCUCCUGGGACGGUCUCUGGUUCUCUCUCGUGAGGAGGCAUGCGUCCCGCCCCUUGUGGUGGCCUCAGGGGUGAGAAAUCAGAACCCACCCAGUGUGAGGAAUAACCCAGCUCUCAGCAAUGUGGGGGGAAAGAAAAAAAACAAAACUGGCCAGCAGUGUAGCUUAAAGGAUCCUCACAAACUGUAGCGAUGACUCUGUGCACAGCCCAAGGAAGGAGAAGCUGCAGGAGCCGGUAAAGUAUUUCCCUGGUGUUCGGGACCAAGGAUGAGUGGCUGCACCUCUGAUGAGACAAUGGCUGCACAGAAGCAUUUAAGACUCUGCACAGGAUCCAUCAGCCAACUGCACCACAGGCCAUUAUCAGAAGCAAAAUGACAAUUAGUUUUUACAUUAUGGUUUGAGGCCAAGGGCCUAGAUUAUGAAACCCAGGCAAUGAAACCAUGUCCCAUAAUCCAUCUGAGAGAGCCAGAUGGCUUUUUCUUUUAGCUUAGUCAUUUACUGUUCUAUUUACCCAGAAGUAUUUAUAUAGGUGCAGCUGAAGUGUUUGCUGUGGCACAAACUCCUGCUUGGCUGGCUAAGAGAAAAUCAAGGGCUGUACAAUUGUUCAUGACAACUCUAGCUAAUGAGCUUAGAUUAGUUCGUUUGGCUCCAAGAGCAGGAGUAGUGUUGUUUACAACUCCUGCUAAAGUCAGGGACAAAUUUCAAAUUUCAAGCCACUUUUUUUUUUUUUUUUUUUUUUUUUUUUUAGAGACAGGGUCUCCCUGUUGUCUAGGCUGGAGUACAGUGGCGUGAUCAUGGCCCAUGGUAACCUCAAACUCCUAGGUUCUCUCUCUUCCUCCCACCUCAGCCUCCUGAGUAGCUGGGAGUAUAAGUGUUUGCCACUACACCCGGCUAAUUUUAAUUCUUUUUUUUGGUAGAGAUAGGAUCUCACUUUUUUUUUUUUUUUUUCUGAGACAAAGUCUGGCUCUCUUGCCCAGGCUGGAGUGCGGUGGCAUGAUUUCGGCUCACUGCAACCUCCGCCUCCUGAGUUCAAGCAAUUCUCGUGCCUCAGCCUCUUGAGUAGCUGGGAUUACAGGCAUGCACAACCACACCUGACUAAUUUUUGUAUUUUUUAGUAGAGAUGGAGUUUCAGCAAGUUGUCCAGGCUGGUCUUGAACUCCUGACCUCAGGUGAUCUGCCUGCCUCAGCCUCCCAAAGUGCUGGGAUUACAAGCAUGAGCUACUGCGCCCGACCAGGAUCUCACUAUGUUGUUCAGGCUGGUCUUGAAGUCCUCGGCUCAAGCGAUCCUCCUACCUCAGCCUCCCAAAGUGCUGGGAUUACAGGCGUGAGGCACCAUACCCAGCCUCAAACCACUUUUCUAAUUGUAUUAUUCCUAUUAUAGGAAUCACAGCUUGCAGAGUAUACAUGAAGAGGAAAUGAGGUAUUGCUCCUGAAAGUUCCCUCAAAUAAUUUGUGUUUGCUUCAUUUUGAAGGCUUCUGGAUAUCCUUCACAAGGAUAUAGGAUCCAAUAGAAGGAUGAUAGUUUUAAAUAUUUGGAAAUCUCUGACAAUUGCUCUGAAUACACAGAUCAGUGAUCGUGAGGUAGGGAGGUAUACACCUGAUGUCCAUUUAAGGAGUAGUAUCCUUAGUGCAACAUAGACUGAAUUCCCUCGAGAUUAACAAAUCCCUUGAGUGGAAUUAAACAGUUCCUGCAAGGCAGGCUGAAGUAUCUCUGAAGAGAACAAACUGUCAUGAUCAGGAUAGCCCAACAUUAGCGUUUAUUACCUAUUGACUAGACUUUGCUGAUACGAUUGUGAUGAUCUCAGUAGAAACAUUUCAUUGAUAUAAAGUUAAGAUUAAUUUUUUGCAAGAUUAGAGGUUGGGAUUAAUGACUUGAGGAAAACUCCAGCACCAGAAGGGUUCUGUAAAAGGGAAUUUUCAUUCUAAAGUAUUUAAAGGAACAGCUGUUAUAUUUUUGUCCACAGGGUCAGUUAGGGGAUUACAGAUUCAGCAAUCCAUUGGCUUCAGAGCCACAGCUGUGAUCUGGGAAAAACAUAUGAGAGUUUUGCUUUUUAUUAAGGAAUACAAAAAGAUCACAACGGUCAGAAAUAUCAGGAUGGGUCAGGCGCAGUGGCUCAGGCCUGUAAUCCCAGCACUUUGGGAGGCCGAGGUGGGCAGAUCAAAAGCUCAGGAGUUCGAGACCAGCCUGGCCAACAUAGUGAAACCCCGACUCUACUAAUAAUACAAAAAUUAGCUGGGCGUGGUGGCGCGUGAAAAAAAAAUAUUAGGAUGAAAAUAAGAGGCAUUAUAUUAGUGUUCUAGAAGGUGUUGAAGUGGUACAUUAGACAACAUUGUAUUGUUAAGGGAAAUCAGAAAAUUGAUGACGAAUCUGAAAAUGUAUCUUGUUCCUUCAUCUUCAGGAGAAGCUGUCCAUUUUGGAGCUUCAUUAUUUGUUCCAUAAUCUGGGGUCAGUGCUGUCCAUUUCUGAAGUUGACAACUUCUAGAGAAUUCCUAAGAAUCUUCAGUUUAAGGCUUCAGAUGAAAUGGAUGUUUAGUAGUCAGGAGGAAGAGAUGUGUGUUUUUUUUUUUGAGACGGAGCCUCGCUCUGUUGCCCAGGCUGGAGUACAGUGGCUCAAUCUCAGCUCACUGCAACCUCCGCCUCCUGAGCUCAAGCAAUUCUCCUGCCUCAGCCUCCCUAGUAGCUGGGACUACAGGCACGUGCCGCUGCACCUGGCUAAUUUUUGUAUUUUUAGCAGAGACGGGGUUUCACAGUGUUAGCCAGGAUAGUCUGGAUCUCCUGCCCUUGUGAUCUGCCUGCCUCGGCCUCCCAAAGCGCUGGGAUUACAGGUGUGAGCCACUGCACCUGGCCAAGAUGUGAAUCUUUUGAACUGGGAAAUGUGAAUCAGAGGAACAUUACUUUGGCCUUUUACUGCUAUGUUAUUUGUUAAUAGUACCUGGUAAGGUCCUUUCAUUGUGAUUCAAGGGCAGUCUUUCUCUAGGGUCUUUUCCAGGAAGACUAAACCUCCAUGUUGCAGAUUAUAUAGAGGUUGUUCAGAGGGUGGUUUGGAAAUGCACCUUUUGCUUGUUGAUGAAGUAAUUAAUCAUAUCUGCCUGUAGAAAGAUAAUGUGUUGGCUUCCUAGGACUACCAAAACAGAGUUCCACAAACUGGAUGGCUUAAAACAACAGAAUACAGUUCUGGAGGCCGGAAGCCUGAAAUCAGUGUAUUGAAGAGCCACUCUCCCUCUGAAGGCUCUAGGGAAGAAUCCUUCCUCUCCAUAACUUUUGGUGAUUGUUGGCCACACUUGGGUUUCCUUGGCUUGUAGAACCAUCACUCCAAUCUCUGCCUCCAUCACCACAUGGCCUUCUUUCUGCGUGUGUCUCUGUAUCCAAAUUUCUCUCUCUCUCUCUUUUUUUUUUUGAGACAGAGUCUUGCUCUGUCACCCAGGCUGGAGUGCAGUGGUGCGAUCUUGGCUCACUGCAACCUCUGCCUCUCUGGUUCAAGCGAAUCUCGCGCCUCAGCCUCCCUAGUAGCUGGGAUUACGGUCACACAUCACCAUGCCCGGCUAAUUUUUUGUAUUUUUAGUGGAGACGGGGUUUUGCCAUGUUGCCUGGGCUGGUCUCCAACUCUUGAGCUCAGGCAAUCUGCCCGCCUCAGCCUCCCAAAGUGCUAGGAUUACAGGCAUGAGCCACCGCGCCCAGCCCAAAUUUCUCUCUUCUUAAAAAGAUGUAUGUUGGCUGGGCUCAUGCCUGUAAUCCCAUCACUUUGGGAGGCCAAGGUUGGCAGAUAGCUUGAGCCCAAGAGUUUGAGACCAGCCUGGGCAACAUGGCAAAGCCUUGUCUCUACCAAAAAGUACGAAAAUUAGCUGGGCGUGUCAGUGUGCACCUGUAGUCCCAGCUACUUCGGAGGCUGAGGCAGGAGGGUUGCUUGAGCCCAGGAGGCCGAGGCUGCAGUGAGUUGAGAUCACACCACCGCACUCCAGCCUGGGCAACAGAGUAAGACCCUAUCUCAAAAAAAAAAAAAAAAAAAAAAAAAAAAAAGCACGAGGACACCUUGUAAUUGGAUUAGGGCCUACUGUGAUCCAUUGUAACUUAAUCUUGAUUGCAUCUACCAAGAUCCUAUUUCCAAAUAAGGUCAUAUUCACAGGUAUCAGGGGUUAGGACUCGAGCAUAAAUUUUAGGGGAGACAAUUAAGGUAGAAUAUAAGAUUGGGGGUGAAAUUCCCAAAUACAUGGGGCAAUCUGUUAUUAAUUCAUAAAGAGAUAAUCUGUGGGUUUUCAGAGGGGGUUCAUUUUAUAGACAUUAAAUCUAAUGGUCAUACUUCAGGCUAUGGGAAUUAAGAGUUCCUGAGUGCUUUGCUAAUUUUAUUUUAGAAUUCCAUUAGUUCUAUUUUUUCCCUGAGUAUUAUGGAUAAUGCAUUUUUGAGUAAAAGACAAAACUUUACAGAGUAUUAGUAGUACUAAUAAAAAGAAUAGUACUAAUAAAAAGAGAGAUAAGUGGGAAUUUCCCAAGUGGGAAAAACAAAAGCAAGAUUUUUUUUUUUUUCUUAGAGGCGUAGCUCUCUGGCAAGGAGAAGAUUCAACCAGCUCUGAGAAUAAAUAGACAAUAACCAGAACAUAUUCAUAACCCAGUGCAGGAGGCAUUUAUAUAAAGUCCAUCUGGAGUGUUCAAAGGGCCCUUGAGGUUUGGUUUCUGUCCAUGUCUGAUCUUUACAGUUUUGCCAGGAUUGUGUCACUGGAAGGUAGGAGAUGUUUUGGAAACAUCCUCAGCACUAACUCUAAAUUUAGCCCGCUUAUGUUAGUCUAAUAUUGUUGCCAAUUUAUUUCUGCUAUUACUUGUAAUAUCAUGAAGCAUCUUUACUAAAUUCCAUUUUUCAUUUUUUGGCACUACUGGCAGAUCAUUCUGCAAAUGCCAAAUAUUAUCUAUAUGCAAUGAGCAUCCUAAUUUUUUCCAUUUGCUUUUUUCCAAACCAGGAGCUUGUCUCUGACAGUCAAUAAUAGCCUUUUUGAAUUCUCCAAGGCCUCUCUUUUCUGUGUUAUUACAGGAACAAUUAUGUUUGGCUAAUGUUGCCUUUUUUGGCAUAGUGGUCAGCUAAAGCACUACCAUGAGAUUUGGGAUCCUUGCAUUCUAUAAGCAGGGAAGUAACUAUAAUAAAAGUGGAAGGUCAUAAAUUUAGGGCUCAGCCCUAAGUUUCUAUUUUUAAAAAGAAACCGUCCACAAAUAAAAUUACAUCAGAUGGCCGGGUGCGGUGGCUCACGCCUGUAAUCCCAGCACUUUGGGAGGCCGAGGCAGGCGGAUCACCUGAGGUCAGGAGUUCAAGACCAGCCUGGCCAACAUGGCAAAACCCCGUCUCUACUAUAGAUAAAAAAAUUAGCCAGGCAUGGUGGCAGGUGCCUGUAAUCCUAGCUACUGAGGAGGCUGAGGCAGGAAGAAUUGCUUGAACCUGGGAGGUGGAGGUUGCAGUGAGCCGAGACCAUGCCACUUCACUCCAGCCUGGGUGACAGAGUGAGACUCCAUCUCAAAAAAAAAAAAAAAAAAAUUAUGUCAGGGAUAUCUGGGGAAUUGGUAACAAACCUGUAUAAGAUUCAGGUAAAUCUGUAAGACGGACUUAAUUGUGAAGUUCUCCUUCAGGUAAAGGAAGGGGAGUGGCUAGGUUUAGAGUGUUGCAGUGAUAGUGAUGUUUGAAGGUGAAAGCAUAGCGUUUGAUAGGAUGUCAGGCAGCUAGCUGAGAAAUGCUGACUAUUUUCCAUUAAUAAAGGAGUGUGUACAUGAGAAACCAUUAAGUUUCAUGGAGAAACUAGAACUGAGCCACCUGAGGCUUCCAUAAAUAUGCUGGUGCUGCUAUAGUUCUUAGACAAGGUGACUACAUCUUAGCUACUGGAUCUAAUGGGAAGACUGAAAAAAGGGCCUCUGAUGGUUGUCAGGUAAUUGGGUUAGUAUUCCUAGUGUUUAGACUUUUAAUAACAAAAUAGGAAAAGGGUUUAUGAUAAAAAGGUGACCCCAGGUUUGGGGACUGUUGCAGAGACUUUUUUAGGUUUCGGAAGUCUUAUUAUAUGAAUCUUCCUAGAGUAAGAGGUUCAGGAUCUAAGGACUUAAUUCACGGAAAGGGGUAGCAAUGGCAGAAGAGGUUGGCACCCAUCACCCAUAAUAUAUAGUCACCCUAGGAACCCUCAAAGUUGCUUUGUAAUAGUUCGUUUGGGAAAACUGAAUAAUUUGUAAUUUUUAUGCUGCGAGAGAUUUGCCUUCUUUUGAUGGUGUGUGCCCUAAAUAAUGAACAUUUUGUUGUUGCUAUUGUUGUUGUAGCAGAAUUUUAAUUUCUCUUUGAAGGCUUUAUGUCUCUUCUGAAUGAAGGUCUUUAAUAAAUACACCAAAUCAGUCUUAAAGUUUUGCUCAUUUUUUGAACAUAGUAAAAGAUCAUCUACGUAUUAUAUCUACAUAUUAUAUUAGAAUAGACUCACAAGGAAAUCUCAAAUCCUUGCAGUCCCAAUUAAGAACCUGAGAGAAAUAAGAAAGGAUCUUCAGUAAAUCCCUGAGGCAAAACAGUCCAGAGACUUGAGCAUCUGUGGAUUUUGGUGUCUGCAGCAG